rnacentral:rRNA from 1 species
AUCCUGGCUCAGAUUGAACGCUGGCGGCAUGCCUUACACAUGCAAGUCGAACGGCAGCACGGGAGCAAUCCUGGUGGCGAGUGGCGAACGGGUGAGUAAUAUAUCGGAACGUGCCCAGUCGUGGGGGAUAACGUAGCGAAAGCUACGCUAAUACCGCAUACGAUCUAUGGAUGAAAGCGGGGGAUCGCAAGACCCCGCGCGAUUGGAGCGGCCGAUAUCAGAUUAGGUAGUUGGUGAGGUAAAGGCUCACCAAGCCGACGAUCUGUAGCUGGUCUGAGAGGACGACCAGCCACACUGGGACUGAGACACGGCCCAGACUCCUACGGGAGGCAGCAGUGGGGGAAUUUUGGACAAUGGGCGCAAGCCUGAUCCAGCAAUGCCGCGUGAGUGAUGAAGGCCUUCGGGUUGUAAAGCUCUUUUACUCGGGACGAUAAUGACGGUACCGAGAGAAUAAGCCCCGGCUAACUCCGUG